rnacentral:lncRNA from 1 species
GUAAUAUGUUAAGACAGUAAUGUUGACAGUAAUAUUAGCCUGCAAAGUCAUGGCAGUUUUGAAAGGCUGCCAUUUAUGCUUCUGUGGUAUCAGGAAAGGGAUACAUAUAUAUGGAAGUGUCACACAGGACACUGUGACCCUACAUUAAACACAACAGAGUUCAUGCAACACAACUGCCAAAAUGUACAUAAAAAACCAUGAGAGUUUCAGCCAAAGAUUAUAUAGACUUAUAGUCUUUAUACUGACAAGAGGUUAUUGCUCAAAACUCUAAUUUCUUUGUUAGAAUUUUCAGAUGCACCAUGACAUUUAUUGAUUUAAUAAACAGUUUAAUAAACAGUUUUUGAGAUGAUUGCUUUCUCC